AUGAAUUCAGGGCAGCGUCGAGGUGGUCAUGUGGGAUCCUGUCGAACAGCUCGUGCUCGCUGUCGACUUCGAUGGCAGGGUCACCCGCUCCAUCGGCCUCCUCUCCGGCAGGAUGUACUACUCAGAUUUCAUCCCCUACUUCAACUCAUACACAGAGAUCUACAUAAAUCCCCUCUGCCUCUGGUGUGCAGCAAGUUGAUGGUUCUGUCUCUGUAUUAUUGUGGAGAUUGGCCAAGUGUUAGUCGAUCUGCAAGCCGGUUUAAGAGCUUGAUUGGACGGUCCAAUUCAACACGGAGCUGA
rnacentral:rRNA from 1 species